rnacentral:rRNA from 1 species
UACGUAGGGGGCAAGCGUUGUCCGGAAUCAUUGGGCGUAAAGAGCGUGUAGGCGGCUCGCUAAGUCUGCUGUGAAAGUCCAGGGCUCAACCCUGGAAGGCCGGUGGAAACUGUCGGGCUAGAGUCCGGAAGAGGCGAGUGGAAUUCCCGGUGUAGAGGUGAAAUUCGUAGAUAUCGGGAGGAACACCGGUGGCGAAGGCGGCGACCUGGGACAAUACUGACGCUGAGGUGCGAAAGCGUGGGGAGCAAACAGG